UGGGGAAUUUUGGACAAUGGGGGAAACCCUGAUCCAGCCAUCCCGCGUGUGCGAUGAAGGCCUUCGGGUUGUAAAGCACUUUUGGCAGGAAAGAAACGUCGCGGGUUAAUACCCCGCGAAACUGACGGUACCUGCAGAAUAAGCACCGGCUAACUACGUGCCAGCAGCCGCGGUAAUACGUAGGGUGCAAGCGUUAAUCGGAAUUACUGGGCGUAAAGCGUGCGCAGGCGGUUCGGAAAGAAAGAUGUGAAAUCCCAGAGCUUAACUUUGGAACUGCAUUUUUAACUACCGGGCUAGAGUGUGUCAGAGGGAGGUGGAAUUCCGCGUGUAGCAGUGAAAUGCGUAGAUAUGCGGAGGAACACCGAUGGCGAAGGCAGCCUCCUGGGAUAACACUGACGCUCAUGCACGAAAGCGUGGGGGAGCAAACAGGAUUAGAUACCCUGGUAGUCCACGCCCUAAACGAUGUCAACUAGCUGUUGGGGCCUUCGGGCCUUGGUAGCGCAGCUAACGCGUGAAGUUGACCGCCUGGGGGAGUACGGUCGCAAGAUUAAAACUCAAAUGAAUUGAC
rnacentral:rRNA from 1 species